CCUACGGGUGGCUGCAGUGGGGAAUAUUGGACAAUGGGCGAAAGCCUGAUCCAGCCAUGCCGCGUGUGUGAAGAAGGCCUUCGGGUUGUAAAGCACUUUCAGUGGGGAAGAAAGCCUUGGGGCUAAUACCCUCGAGGAAGGACAUCACCCACAGAAGAAGCACCGGCUAACUCCGUGCCAGCAGCCGCGGUAAUACGGAGGGUGCGAGCGUUAAUCGGAAUUACUGGGCGUAAAGCGCGCGUAGGCGGUCUGAUAAGCCGGUUGUGAAAGCCCCGGGCUCAACCUGGGAACGGCAUCCGGAACUGUCAGGCUAGAGUGCAGGAGAGGAAGGUAGAAUUCCCGGUGUAGCGGUGAAAUGCGUAGAGGUCGGGAGGAAUACCAGUGGCGAAGGCGGCCUUCUGGACUGACACUGACGCUGAGGUGCGAAAGCGUGGGUAGCAAACAGGAUUAGAUACCCGAGUAGUC
rnacentral:rRNA from 1 species